CUGUAGGUGUAGGUGGGGUUGUGAGAGUUGGUCUCAGAUUUUCGUCAAAACCCCUAACUGGGCAUACGAUAAGUUGAAUCGAGUUCUAUGGUUCGAGAAUCAUCUUUAGAUUGUUGAUUCUUUGUACAAUUGUGUUGAAGUAGACCCUAAAGAACACAAUAAUCUCUGUUAUGCAAUGUUGUUCUAUUAGGGCUUUAAACUAAAAAAAUACUACAAAUCCUCUUGCUAACAAUUUGGCUUCUGUUUGACUCUUCUUUUAAAGUUUUCAGGUUCUCUCUCACUUUCAACUUUAAAUCACGGAAGAACAGAAAGGAAGUUUUAUUUUGUCUGGUCUGUUUAUAUGUUGAAGGAAUGUUCUUCGUUUCUUUUUUGGGUAUGCAUUAGUUUGCACCCUCAAUAAAUCUUCUAAGGGACAAACCUGAGCUAUGGUUACCGGAAAUGGAAACCGAAGUCUUGGCCAAUUCCUUCUUCACGCCACUAUUUAUCGUGUUAUUAAAUUAGCUAAUUUUAUAAUGAUUGCAUAUAAGAACAACUUUGAUAAAAACCACUUUAGACAGGUGAAACACUUUUAAUUCUGCAAAGUGCUACCCUCGUUCUUAACUACUUUAGAUUGAUUUGAACUACUAAAUGGAAAAUGUAGUUUCUUCUGAUGUUUCUCUGUAGUAGUAUUGAACACUAAAAAUAAAAUACAUUCAACAUGAUCUUGGAAGACACAGCUACAACAAUGAUGAAAGAGUUUAGAAAUCGUUUAGCUUUUGCCAUCAUUAUAUUUCUAGACUAGCAAAUUCAAUUUUUCAUUCAUAUAUAUAGUACACGAAAGAUGCCAUUGACAGAGUCAAGAUUUGGUUAAAUAAUUGGUAGUAGUCCCUACAACAACUGAAAAGAAAAAUUAACAGGCCACAUUAUCUUCACCGACUUAUUUCUUUCUUAACAUUUGCAAAUUUAUUAGUGCAGUUUCCCAAUGGUUUUCUUCCAUAUUUGUUUGUUUUACUUUUUCCUUCUUUUGGACCUCUCAAGUGGAAUUUUGUCAUUUGUUAUCUUUGCUUGAUCAUGAUUAGGGGCAGGAUUAUCAUCAUGAUCAUGAAGAUACAGACGAGAAAUUGAGAAUCAUUCAAGGAGACAGAUUGAGCCAUUGAAUGGAUGUGGAUCGCGAAAAGCUAACACCUUUGUUAGAAAAUAAAUGAAGAGCAAAGCUUGGAAAAGAUUGAAUGAGUGUGGAGAGGACAAGACAAAUAAAAUAAGAACUUGGGGACAAGUUGUUUGCACAUACAAGGUAAAUUGAUGGGUAAGAGCAAUUAUACUUUAUUUUGCCUACUAUCCUUCCUUAGCCAUAAAAUUGGGAUGACGUACAGUUAAAUUUCACUUUUGGAUAUGUUGUAUUUAUAGUUUGAGACAGCACUAGAUUUAUUUUGGUAUAAUGCAGGUCCAUGUGUCACUAAUCACCUACACAAUUUGGGCCUCUCUUUAUACUUAAUCAAUGUGAGGGUCCCAAAGUUGUAUAGAAUGUAGACGGUCAAAGCUAUCUAGAUAUAUGCAGGGAAGUUUGAUUGGUUUUUGUGUUUAAGCUAUAUACAUAUAUGCAACCAAAUUUUAUUGGUUUUUGUUGUACUUCGUGAUCUCCAUAAUUAUCAAAGAACACAAUUGGGUGGGACAUUGUACUAUUACAGCGAUAGGGG